rnacentral:rRNA from 1 species
AGUGAACGCUGGCGGUAGGCCUAACACAUGCAAGUCGAACGAGUGGCGGACGGGUGAGGAAUACAUCGGAAUCUACUCUGUCGUGGGGGAUAACGUAGGGAAACUUACGCUAAUACCGCAUACGAUCGAAUGAGCCGAUGUCGGAUUAGCUAGUUGGUGGGGUAAAGGUCCACCAAGGCGACGAACCGUAGCUGGUCUGAGAGGAUGAUCGGCCACACUGGAACUGAGACGCGGUCCAAGCUCCUACGAGAGGCAGCAGUGGAGAAUAUUGCACACUGGGCGCAAGCCUGAUGCAGCCAUGCCGCGUGUAUGAAGAAGGCCUUCGGGUUGUAAAGUACUUUCAGCGGGGAGGCGUUACCCGCAGAAGAAGCACCGGCUAACUCCGUGCCAGCAGCCGCGGUAAUAC